GACGAACGCUGGCGGCGUGCUUAACACAUGCAAGUCGAACGAAAAGAGGGAAAGAGCUUGCUCUUUCCGGAAUUGAGUGGCAAACGGGUGAGUAACACGUAAACAACCUGCCUUCAGGAUGGGGACAACAGACGGAAACGACUGCUAAUACCGAAUAAGUUCCAAGAGCCGCAUGGCCCAUGGAAGAAAAGGUGGCCUCUACCUGUAAGCUAUCGCCUGAAGAGGGGUUGGCGUCUGAUUAGCGGGUUGGAGGGGUAACGGCCAACCAAGGCGACGAUAGGAAGCGGUCCUGGGAGAUGGACGGGCAAAACGGGAAUGGGGAACGGGCCAGACUCCUAAGGGGGGCAGCAGGUGGGAAUCUUCCGCAAUGGGGGAAAGCCUGACGGCGCACAGCCCGGUGAGGGGUGGCGGCCUUCGGGUUGUAAAACUCUGUGUUCCGGGACGAAAAGGCAGAGUGCGAAGAACAAACUGCAUUGACGGUACCGGAAGAGCAAGCCACGGCUAACUACGUG
rnacentral:rRNA from 1 species